AGCUCCAAUAGCGUAUAUUAAAGUUGUUGCGGUUAAAAAGCUCGUAGUUGGAUUUCUGUCGGUGAGUGGCGGUCCGCCCCCUGUGGUGAGCACUCGUCAGGCCACCGACAUCUUCCUGGGGAUUGCGCUGCACUUCACUGUGUGGUGUACUAUCCAGGGCGUUUACUUUGAGGAAAUGAGAGUGUUUCAAGCAAGCAUCUGCCAUGAAUACGUUAGCAUGGAAUAAUAGCAUCGGACCUCGAUCUGAAGCUGUUGGUGUUUUGGGUCGGGGUAAAGGUGAAUAGAGAUUGUUGGGGGCAUUCGUAUUUAACUGUCAGAGGUGAAAUUCUUGGAUUUGUUGAAGACGGACUACUGCGAAAGCAUCUGCCAAAGAUGUUCUCA
rnacentral:rRNA from 1 species